rnacentral:lncRNA from 1 species
UAAUCCGCGGACAGAUCAUUAUAUUUACAGAUUAUAUAGAUAUAAAUAAAAUUUAUUCAUAAAUUUUUAAAUAAUUAUUUUUUUAAAGAAAAACUUCAAAAACCUUCCCUGUGGUUUCGUAGUUUCUCACUUUGCUCCCCUAUGGUUUAAAAUGUAUCAAUUUGCCCCCUUCUGUGGUUUCUUUUUUCUCUUUUUCUUAUCAAUUUUAUUAUUUUUUUUUCUUAAAUCAGUGAUAAAGUUAAAAUUAAAGGGUACUAAAGUGAAUAUUUGAUAAAUCUAGAUGGGUAUCUAAAGUUUUUUGUAUAUAAUUUAAUGAAAUAUUAACGAAAAAGUUACCGAAAAGAUAAAAAACGAAACCACAGGGGGGCAAUUUGAUACAUUUUAAACCACAGGGGGGCAAA